CAUUAGGUUUGCUUGAGGUAUCCAAGAACUGCUUAACUUCUUCAAGUUUCAAUUUUUUAUAAGAAUCAUCCUUUUCUUCCUGACUGUUUGUCUCCGAAAUUACUUCAGAAAAUUUGGCAAUAAUAGCCUCUGCUAAGACCGCCUAAAAUGGAAAAAAAUACAAGCUGUAAAUAAAAUAAUUUUCUUCCAUGCUUUGGGAACAGCUGGAGCCUUGAGAGUAACAUCAGCUUUAGGUACUGCAACUGCUUUCGCUGCUACCUCGUGAACUUGAGGAUAAUGAUUGCUGUUGACUCAACCAAUGGCCUAGCUGUGUUUGCAUCAUCUUCCUUUGCAGACACUGCUUUCAUUAUCAGUUAAUUGAAAAAUAGUACCAUGUACAGAUAAUUAAAUUCCAAAUGUGUUUCAAAUUUCAUAAAACAUUUACAUUAGGUUUGCUUGAGGUAUCCAAGAACUGCUUAACUUCUUCAAGUUUCAAUUUUUUGUAAGAAUCAUCCUUUUCUUCCUGACUGUUUGUCUCCGAAAUUACUUCAGAAAGUUUGGCAAUAAUAGCCUCUGCUAAGACCAACUAAAAUUGAAAAAAUACAAGCUGUAAAUAAAAUAAUUUUCUUCCAUGCUUUGGGAACAGCUGGAGCCUUGAGAGCAACAUCAGCUUUAGGUACUGCAACUGCUUUCGCUGCUACCUCGGGAACUUGAGGAUGAUGAUUGCUGUUGGCCAACCAUGGCCCCGAUGCUGACUCAACCAAUGGCCUAGCUGUGUUUGCAUCAUCUUCCUUUGCAGACACUGCUUUCAUUAUCUGUUAAUUGAAAAAUAGUUUGCUUGAGGUGUCCAAGAACUGCUUAGCUUCUUCAAGUUUCAAUUUGUUGUAAGCAUCAUCCCGGAAUCCGUGGUGAAAGCAGCCAUCAUUUAUCUUUCCUCAACUGCCCUGGCACUUAAUAGGGGAUUGGCGACUCCUUGUUUUUUAGACGUCAUUAUGAUUGAAGCGUCACGUGACACGUUCGAGCAAUGGAAACAUUUAGAUUUUCGCAAUCCACGUACAUUUCGUAAAGCAUCUUAGUAUAUUCGUUACAUCAGGUAUGAUUAAAAAAGACAAAUGAAUUUCAUGUCCUGUAAAAGCUGAAUGGUUGUUUGUAUAAUGCUAGCUUAUUCUGAAUAAAAAGAACUACAGCAGAUUAAA